rnacentral:rRNA from 1 species
GUGUCAGCCGCCGCGGUAAUACCAGCUCUCCGAGUGGUAGGGACGAUUAUUGGGCUUAAAGCGUCCGUAGCCGGCUUAGCAAGUCUCCUGUUAAAUUCAGCGACCUAAUCGUUGAGCCGCGGGAGAUACUACUAGGCUAGGAGGCGGGAGAGGUCGACGGUACUUCCGGGGUAGGGGUGAAAUCCUAUAAUCCCGGGAGGACCACCAGUGGCGAAGGCUGUCGACUAGAACGCGCUCGACGGUGAGGGACGAAAGCUGGGGGAGCGAACCGGAUUAGAUACCCGGGUAGUCCCAGCCGUAAACGAUGCGGGCUAGGUGUUGGAGUGGCUACGUGCCACUUCAGUGCCGCAGGGAAACCAAUAAGUGCCCCGCCUGGGAAGUACGGCCGCAAGGCUGAAACUCAAAUGAAUUGACGGGG